rnacentral:rRNA from 1 species
GACGAACGCUGGCGGCGUGCCUAAUACAUGCAAGUCGAGCGGAUCUCGAGGAGCUUGCUCCUUGAGAUUAGCGGCGGACGGGUGAGUAACUCGUGGGCAACCUGCCUGUAAGACUGGGAUAACACCGGGAAACCGGUGCUAAUACCGGAUAAUUCUUUCCCUCACAUGAGGGGAAGCUGAAAGUCGGUUUCGGCUGACACUUACAGAUGGGCCCGCGGCGCAUUAGCUAGUUGGUGAGGUAACGGCUCACCAAGGCAACGAUGCGUAGCCGACCUGAGAGGGUGAUCGGCCACAGUGGGACUGAGACACGGCCCAGACUCCUACGGGAGGCAGCAGUAGGGAAUCUUCCGCAAUGGACGAAAGUCUGACGGAGCAACGCCGCGUGAGUGAUGAAGGCCUUCGGGUCGUAAAACUCUGUUGUUAGGGAAGAACAAGUAUCGGAGUAACUGCCGGUACCUUGACGGUACCUAACCAGAAAGCCACGGCUAACUACGUGCCAGCCGCCGCUGUAACAC